CAGAGCUUAGAAGCAAAGUUAAGAGACUCAUCAGAUUCUGAGCUGCGGCGGGAUAUUUUGCAGAAGACUGUGAAGCAUCCUGUGUGUGUGAAGCACCCGCCGUCAGUCAAGUAUGCCCGGUGCUUUCUCUCAGAACUCAUGAAAAAGCCCUCGGGAGGCUCGGUCACACUCUCCAAGAGCACAGCCAUCAUCUCCCACGGCACCACAGGCCUGGUCACAUGGGACGCUGCCCUCUACCUUGCAGAAUGGGCCGAGAACCCAGCAGCCUUCACUCACAGGUGACCUCGGGGCGCAGGGCAGGGCACCGAGGCAGGCUUACCCUGGUGCAGUCACAGACACGGUCCCCUUUCCUCCCACCAGGACUGUCCUAAAGCUUGGCAGUGGCGCCGGCCUCACAGGCCUGGCCAUCUGCAAGAUGUGCCGCCCCCGGGCGUACAUCUUCAGCGACUGUCACAGCCGGGUCCUCGAGCAGCUCCGAGGGAAUGUCCUUCUCAAUGGCCUCUCAUUAGAGGCAGACAUCACUGCCAACUUAGACGGCCCCAGGGUGACAGUGGCCCAGCUGGACUGGGACGUCGCGACGGUCUGUCAGCUCUCUGCCGUCCAGCCAGAUGUUGUCAUUGCAGCAGGUAAUGCCCAGCCCCGGGCAUCCUGUGCAGGCGGUGUCCUUGCAGCUCUACCCAGCUCUUGGCUCUGGGAAAAGGGAACAAUGGAUGCUGUCAGGCAUGGACAUGAUGGGGCUUCCAGAAGAGUUACUCUGGGCCUCCAGGCUGACAUCAAAGGACAGGGGUGCCUCUUAAGGUGACCUUCAAGCCACAGCCCUCUUGCUGGAGACAGGCAUACUCCCGUUCCAGUUGUCACCACAUGGCUCU
rnacentral:lncRNA from 1 species